UAUACCGUGAAACUGCGAAUGGCUCAUUAAAUCAGUUAUCGUUUAUUUGAUAGUACCUUACUACUUGGAUAACCGUGGUAAUUCUAGAGCUAAUACAUGCUGAAAACCCCAACUUCGGGAGGGGUGUAUUUAUUAGAUAAAAAACCAACGCCCUUCGGGGCUUCUUGGUGAUUCAUGAUAACUUAACGGAUCGCAUGGCCUUGCGCCGGCGACGGUUCAUUCAAAUUUCUGCCCUAUCAACUUUCGAUGGUAAGGUAUUGGCUUACCAUGGUUUCAACGGGUAACGGGGAAUUAGGGUUCGAUUCCGGAGAGGGAGCCUGAGAAACGGCUACCACAUCCAAGGAAGGCAGCAGGCGCGCAAAUUAUCCAAUCCCGACACGGGGAGAUAGUGACAAUAAAUACUGAUACAGGGCUCUUUUGGGUCUUGUAAUUGGAAUGAGUACAAUUUAAACCUCUUAACGAGGAACAAUUGGAGGGCAAGUCUGGUGCCAGCAGCCGCGGUAAUUCCAGCUCCAAUAGCGUAUAUUAAAGUUGUUGCAGUUAAAAAGCUCGUAGUUGAACCUUGGGUCUGGCUGGCAGGUCCGCCUCACCGCGUGUACUUGUCCGGCCGGGCCUUCCUUCUGGAGAACCUCAUGCCCUUCACUGGGCGUGUUGGGGACCAGGACUUUUACUUUGAAAAAAUUAGAGUGUUCAAAGCAGGCCUUUGCUCGAAUACGUUAGCAUGGAAUAAUAGAAUAGGACGUGCGGUCCUAUUUUGUUGGUUUCUAGGACCGCCGUAAUGAUUAAUAGGGACAGUCGGGGGCAUCAGUAUUCAAUUGUCAGAGGUGAAAUUCUUGGAUUUAUUGAAGACUAACUACUGCGAAAGCAUUUGCCAAGGAUGUUUUCAUUAAUCAGUGAACGAAAGUUAGGGGAUCGAAGACGAUCAGAUACCGUCGUAGUCUUAACCGUAAACUAUGCCGACUAGGGAUCGGGCGAUGUUCUUUUUCUGACUCGCUCGGCACCUUACGAGAAAUCAAAGUU
rnacentral:rRNA from 1 species